CCCUUAGAUGUUCUGGGCUGCACGCGCGCUACACUGACAUGUUCAACAAGCCUCCUAGUUCGACAGGAUUUGGGAAAUCUUUGAACGCAUGUCGUGAUAGGGAUAGAUCAUUGCAAUUAUUGAUCUUGAACGAGGAAUUCCUAGUAAACGCGAGUCAUCAGCUCGCAUUGAUUACGUCCCUGCCCUUUGUACACACCGCCCGUCGCACCUACCGAUUGAAUGUUUCGGUGAAGAUUCCGGAUAGGACUUUUUUGAUUUAUUUCAAUUUUGUCUUAAAAGCUAUCUAAACCUCAACAUUUAGAGGAAGGUGAAGUCGUAACA
rnacentral:rRNA from 1 species